UGACGGUAUCUAACCAGCAAGUCACGGCUAACUACGUGCCAGCAGCCGCGGUAAUACGUAGGUGGCAAGCGUUAUCCGGAUUUAUUGGGCGUAAAGGGAACGCAGACGGUUUUUUAAGUCUGAUGUGAAAGCCUUCGGCUUAACCGGAGAAUAGCAUUGGAAACUGGAAGACUUGAGUGCAGAAGAGGAGAGUGGAACUCCAUGUGUAGCGGUGAAAUGCGUAGAUAUAUGGAAGAACACCAGUGGCGAAAGCGGCUCUCUGGUCUGUAACUGACGCUGAGGUUCGAAAGCGUGGGUAGCAAACAGGAUUAGAUACCCUG
rnacentral:rRNA from 1 species